rnacentral:rRNA from 1 species
GACGAACGCUGGCGGCGUGCUUAACACAUGCAAGUCGAACGGAAAGGCCCUGCUUUUGUGGGGUGCUCGAGUGGCGAACGGGUGAGUAACACGUGAGUAACCUGCCCCUGACUUUGGGAUAACUUCAGGAAACUGGGGCUAAUACCGGAUAGGAGCUCCUGCUGCAUGGUGGGGGUUGGAAAGUUUCGGCGGUUGGGGAUGGACUCGCGGCUUAUCAGCUUGUUGGUGGGGUAGUGGCUUACCAAGGCUUUGACGGGUAGCCGGCCUGAGGGGGUGACCGGCCACAUUGGGACUGAGAUACGGCCCAGACUCCUACGGGAGGCAGCAGUGGGGAAUAUUGCACAAUGGGCGGAAGCCUGAUGCAGCAACGCCGCGUGCGGGAUGACGGCCUUCGGGUUGUAAACCGCUUUCGCCUGUGACGAAGCGUGAGUGACGGUAAUGGGUAAAGAAGCACCGGCUAACUACGUG